UUUUACUAAUUUACAUUCCACCAACAGUGUAUGAGGGUUCCCUUUUCUUCACAGCCUCAUCAGCAUUUGUUAUUGCCUGUCUUUUGGAUACAAGCCAUUUUAACUGCGGUGAGAUGAUAUUUCACUGUAGUUUUGAUUUGCAUUUGUGUGAUGAUCAAUGAUAUUGUGCAUGUUUUCAUAUGCCUACUAGCCUCAUAGAAUGAGUUUGGAAGUAUUCUUUCCCCCUCCAUUUUUUGAAACAGUUUGAGUAGUAUUGCUAUUAUUUCUUUAACUGUUUAGUAGAAUUCAGCAGUCAAGCCAUUGGGUCCCAGGCUUUUCUUUACUGGGAACAUUUUUAUUUCAGCUUCAAUUUCUUCACUUGUUAGUCUGUUCAGGCUUUGGAUUUCUUCCUGGUUCAAUCUCGGUCAGUCAAAACUGAAGAUCAGCUUUUGAUCAUGAGGAGAUUAGGUCACAGAUGUUCAAUAAGGAAAGACCAUGUGAAGACACAAGAAGAUGGUCAUCUGCAAGCCAAGAGAAAUGUCUCAAAAGGAACUGGCCCUGCUGACAUCUUGACCUUGAAUUUCCAGCCUCAGGUUCUUGGAUGCUUGAUGGAAUUAAGGAUUUGAGAACAUGAGAACAAACAGGAAUAUGCAGGAAAUCUUGAGGACACAGGAGAUGAAGUCAACCUGUGGCCAAGGGAGAGGGAGGGACAUGAGAAGCUUUGUGAAAGAUGUCAGCGCAAACCUCAGGCAAGUGCCACCCAACCUAGAGCUGUGGAUUGAAGUUUGGCGUUGGGGUGUCAGCCUGUGAUUUCCUGAUCUCCAACUCCACUCCUCUUAAGUCACCCAGCCUAAGGCACUGAACCUCAUCAUCAGAACCUCAGAGUCCAACAUCUUGACCAUAGCCUUGCAACCCCACUGUUAGGUUUCUGUAUCCAGUGAAAAUAUCAUUUAAAAGAUAAACAUGAAAUAAACGUUUCCAGCUGGACUACACUAUGUAAAAAUGAAGUUAUUUGGGAUGAAAAAUAAUGACACCACAUAGAUAAUCAUAUUUUCAGUAAAAAUGAGCAAAACCAAAAGUAAAUAAAUUGAUACAUGUA
rnacentral:lncRNA from 1 species